AACGCGAAGAACCUUACCAGGUCUUGACAUCCUCUGACAACCCUAGAGAUAGGGCUUUCCCUUCGGGGACAGAGUGACAGGUGGUGCAUGGUUGUCGUCAGCUCGUGUCGUGAGAUGUUGGGUUAAGUCCCGCAACGAGCGCAACCCUUGAUCUUAGUUGCCAGCAUUCAGUUGGGCACUCUAAGGUGACUGCCGGUGACAAACCGGAGGAAGGUGGGGAUGACGUCAAAUCAUCAUGCCCCUUAUGACCUGGGCUACACACGUGCUACAAUGGACAGAACAAAGGGCUGCGAGACCGCAAGGUUUAGCCAAUCCCACAAAUCUGUUCUCAGUUCGGAUCGCAGUCUGCAACUCGACUGCGUGAAGCUGGAAUCGCUAGUAAUCGCGGAUCAGCAUGCCGCGGUGAAUACGUUCCCGGGUCUUGUACACACCG
rnacentral:rRNA from 1 species